rnacentral:lncRNA from 1 species
CUGGGACCUUAAUGCCAUAUAACAGUUCUCACUGCUGUCCAAGGGUGGAAGAAGAGGGAGGACUACAACAAACACAAAUAGUGAUCAGCUGCUCAGACUCCCCCUAAAGCUGCUUGUCAGUGGAAGAGAGAAGCAGAGAUCAACAGAGAAAACUGGACACCAGGGUUUAGAUCAACGUAAAAUGAAACUGCAGUUCAUCAGAAUUUGCCUAAACAGAAAAAGGGCAAAUUAAAAAAUGAAAGUUCUUUUACCUCCACAGAAAAGUGGAUUAGUGUCUUCUGCCACCAGCAAAUUGCAUUUCUGUACUUCU